GGGAGCGCCCGAAUGAGGAGGGAGCGGCGCCCGAGCGCGGGAGCGGCAGCAGCAGCAGUAGCGGGGGCCCGCGGCCGGUUGGGAGCAGAGCGGGGCGGCGCCUCUGGCCGAGACGGCCGCCGCCGCGUCCCGCCGUUUGCUGCCUCCUGCUCCCGCUAGGCUGCGUGAGCCCCGCGAGGGGGGUAAGCGGCGGGGAUGAGCUCCGGUGCCCUGCCGCCUCCUCCUCCUCCGCUGCCGCCGCCGCCGCCAUGAAGCGGAAGACCUCGGCGGCGGGGGGCCGGCGAAACUCGGCCCCGGCCACCCUGCCGGACACGCCGCCGCCGGCAGUCAAGAAGACACGCAGCUCGGCCACGCUGCCCGCGGUGCUCGAGGGGGACGAGCAACCGGCGCGGCCCCUCCGGCGAGAGCUCUACCUGCAGAUCACAGAUCGCGUUUAUUUUGCCAUUCUCUUCCAUAAACCAAAGGGUGGUAGCUCAAGCACACAUUAUUUCUGCGUAGAUGAUGAAUAUGUAUAUGAGAAUUUCUAUGCAGAUUUUGGCCCACUCAAUCUGGCAAUGAUUUACAGAUACUGUUGCAAGCUAAAUAAAAAGUUGAAGUCCUUUACCAUGUUAAGAAAGAAGAUUGUUCAUUAUACUGGCUUUGAUCAGAAAAAGCAAGUCAACGCAGCCUUCCUCAUAGGCUGUUACGCAAUAAUAUAUCUGAGGGAAUCUCCAGAAAACAUAUACAGGCAUUUAGUGUCUGAAAAUGUGACAUAUCUUCCUUUCAGGGAUGCUGCGUUUGGUACCUGCAGUUUUCAUCUAACGCUGCUCGACUGUUUUCAGGCGAUAAAUAAGGCUUUGCGGUAUGGCUUCCUUGAUUUCAAUUCAUUUGAUGUAGAUGAAUAUGAGCACUAUGAGAGGGCUGAAAAUGGAGACUUUAACUGGAUAAUACCAAAAAAAUUCAUUGCCUUUGGUGGACCACACUCAAGAAGUAAAAUUGAAAAUGGUUACCCACACCAUGCCCCCGAGGCCUAUUUUCCCUACUUCAGAAGACAUAAUGUUACCACUGUAAUCCGUCUAAACAAGAGAGUGUAUGAUGCAAGGAGGUUUAAAGAUGCAGGGUUUGAGCACCAUGAGCUUUUCUUUGCUGAUGGGAGUAUACCUAAUGAUGCCAUCGUCAGAUCAUUCCUAAGUAUUUGUGAAAAUGCCGAAGGUGCUAUAGCAGUUCAUUGCAAAGCUGGACUUGGCAGAACUGGCACACUUAUAGCCUGUUACAUUAUGAAGCAUUACAGGAUGACUGCUGCUGAAGCUAUUGCCUGGAUUAGAAUCUGCAGACCUGGCUCUGUGAUUGGAGCGCAGCAGCACUUCCUGUUAAAGAAACAGUCAGAACUUUGGUUGGAAGGUGAUAUUCUCCGUGCAAAGCUAAGAAAGACGGCAAAAUACACCGUUACAAAAAUUCUUUCAGGAGUAGAUGAUAUUUCAAUUAAUGAUUCCAAAAGUCAGAUUGGCAGCAGUAAAGAUUCUGAACCGUACAGUGAUGAUGAAGAAGAAAUGCACUCAGUUACGCAAGGAGAUAAGCUUCGUGCCCUGAAAAGUAAACGGCAGUCAAAAGGAAACUCAGUUCCACUAACGGUAAUUCUGCAGUCCAGUGUUCAGAAAAGUAAACAGCCUGAAUCUAGCAAUUCUGACACUUCAGGCCAUUCUAAAAGAACAACGAGGUCUACCGCAAGAAAAGGCAGUUUUAAAAGAGUCGUCCCAUGUUGCUACAGAUAGCAGUUUAGGGAGCAAGAUAUUAUGUUGACACGAUGAGCGGAGAGAGAAUGGAUUUUAAAAGGCACUUGAAGAAUAGGAUCAAAUACGCCUCUGAUGCCUCAGAGGGAAAGGAGAAAAAGGGAUGUUUUACACCAAAUGCGCUUAUGCAGUGCUCCCAACCCAAGAACCAGGACUGUGUUGCGUUAAAAGCAAUCAGAGUGGAAGAGGAUGCAAGGGAAACAAAAGGACAUUGCUGCUAAUUAAAACAAUUAGAAGAAAUUUUUUGUAAAACAAAAAAAAGAAGCAGUGGUCUAUUUUUUGUAUUUAGUUUGAAGAAGUUUUAGUUUUGUGAAGAGAACUUUUGUGUGAGGACCCUAAAUUACUGUAAACUGUACCAUUUUUACUUUUAAUGCUAGGAAAUUAUUCUCAAAUAUAAAAAGCGGCGUGUAAAUUUUAGCCUUCGGUCUGAAUAACUCUUGUUAUCAAAAGAGCUUUCUUUUCUGUACAGCGCUCAUGUAUAAAAUGUGAUGGCAAUCAUCUAGCUUCUGUCAACCACCAAGACGACUGUGGCAUUUUAGCUAUUUGGAAUGACAGGUGUAAGUUAUCAAUGUAAUUUCUCUUCCUAGGUGGAGAGAAGUGAUACCCGCCCCCUCAUAAAUAGCUCCAUACAAGUAUGACUAUCCUAAUUUUAGUAGGAUUUUUAUCAAGUGGUAACAAAGUGUGAUUUAUUUUCAUGGUUUUGUUUUCUGGGUUUUCUUUUUUUCUCUCUUCAAGUUACACCACUGCCUGUUGUGUUGCUUACUGCUUCUAAUUUACAUGUAAAGACUGUAUGUGCCGUAUUUUAGAGCCACUCUGGAAGGUUGCUCUCCUGUGCAGGUAGAGAGAGAAAAAAUCAUCCUAACACUACUGGCUUGGGCCAAAAUGCAGGAAGCAAGGAGAGCUUCCUAGUAACUUUUCUUUCUUUGCAGAUAUUUACGCACACCAUCUCAUGUCUAUAAAAGCCUACAGCAGGCCUGUGGCCAAACAUGGCCCUCCAGCUGUUUUGGGACUACAAUUCCCAUAAUCCCUGACCACUGGUCCUGCUAGCUAGGAAUGAUGGGAGUUGUAGUCCCAAAACAGCUGGAGGGCCAAGUUGGGCCAUGCCUGGCCUACAGCAUUACCUAGGGAUUCAGACAGGAGUCUCUAUGCCAGCCCUACCUGGAGAAGCCAGAGAUUGAACCUGGACCUUCUGAAUAGAAAUGCCUGGGCUCUAGCACUGAGCUCUGACUGGAGUUGAAAAUAGCCUCUUUGCUCCCCUUGUCUGACACACUGCAGCUUUAAAUGAUUCAUUACCUUUUUAAUGGAGAAGCAGUAGCAGCUCUGGAGGAAAGUGUACCUGGAGCAUCCUAAGCUAUCUUGCUACUACUUUUUAAGUAGGGCGGUGGUUUUGUGCCUUAGGAUUUGGCUUUUUUGGGGGGUGGGGGAGUAUCUGACCUGGCUCUUGUGGGGCUAGCAAAAGAGACCUAAAACUAAGAGACUGCUAGCCAUUGACAUCGAGCAAGCUGCUAACCAUCAGUUUCAAUGAAGAAGUUGCUGCUAACAGUUGCCAAGAGGUGAACUGGAGUUUCAUGAAUAUGUUUUGAUUGAAUUCUCACUGCCACAACUAACACAUUCAGUAAAAUUGGUUCCCUUAUUCAUGGCCUGUAACUUCCAGCAUUCUAAUCACCGUGCUGCUUCAUGUUACUAUAAAAUUUCUCCAUGGUGUAGCAGCUUUCAUUUAAGAAUUUGCAGGCUUCAUGUGUGGAGAUGAUUUGAAAUAAUGUGAUGUUUCUAAAUCAUGCUGGACUGACAGAGCCAAUAUUUGGUUUCACAGCCUGUGUACAUGGUACCAAAUACUAGACUUACCAAAAGGUGAGCUCCAGUCCCCACCCCUCUUACUCUGCAAAAGUGAUUUCUGAGUAAGGACUUUGGAAUGUAAGGACUUUGGACUUUUGGAAUGCUUGGGUUACAACUCUCAUCAUCCCCAGCUAUUUGGUCAUUGGACCAAGCCACCUUCUGCCCAACGGAUCUACAACUGGGAAGCCUCUCAGGGCCUAGCCUCCUGCUGCUACUCAUUUCAUAUUGGGUAUUUAUCUUGUCCAGUAGAGCUAGGCGAAUGAGAGGAUCCAAAUACAGUCUGCUAAAAAUAAUGAGAAAAUGUGCCGCGUUAAUCUUGAGCAUGGGUAGGCAAACUAAGGCCUGGGGGCCGGAUGUGGCCCAAUCGCCUUCUAAAUCCAGCCCAUGGACGGUCUGGGAAUCAGUGUGUUUUUACAUGAGUAGAAUGUGUCCUUUUAUUUAAAAUGCAUCUCUGGGUAAUUUGUGGGGCAUAGGAAUUCAUCCCCCCCCCCCAAAAUCAAGGUCUUAGGGACAGUGGACCAGCCCCCUGCUGAAAAAGUUUGCCGACCCCUAAUCUUGAGUAUCAGUCCACUUGUAUACCAAAGGGCCUUAAUUUUAGGAUGUGAAAAGGUAGUUUAUAUGGAACCAUAACUUAUUAUAUAUAUAUAUAUAAAACUAAGCCCAGUUGCUUCAUGAGAAUAUAAUUUCUUUUAGAACAGCAACUCUGGCCUUUCCUUACAAUGGGCGUUGCUACCAGUUAUGGUCAGUAGUUAUGGACUAGAUGAGGCUUGAGGUCCCUUCCAACAUGAUUCCAUGUUAAUUACCUUUGAGUUCCAAAAUGUAAGCCUAUAGAAUCCUAUUAGGCAGGGGAUGAAGUUUAGCUGAGAUCACAGCCUACUAGAUAUAUAGCCUUGGCUUGUCAAUUCUCCAAGUUGCUGGGAAAAAAGAAACUAUUGUCUACUAAUCAGUUUUGGGCAAAUUCAGAUCUUAGGGAUGAUAUUCAUUUUUAAAAGAUCAUCAAUCCCCCAUUUUACUUAGUGGGGUUUCUCCUUCAGUGACUCAAAUGUUUCCUUGAAGUUUGGGAGUGCAAUUCCUCUUUACAACAUAACCUUAGAAGAAAGAGCUCCUCCUCUUGCCUUUGAAAAUAUUGCACUAAUUUACUGGUUAGCCAAUGUAGAAAAUACAACUACUAAAAACAGACAAGCGUCAAUAUUUCAGUUAUCUGAGGCCUGAACGUAGGUGCUAUUUGGUAGCUUCUUGCAGUGUAGGGUAGGCAGAGUCCAUGCCAGCCUUUUGCUUUAACUUAAGAGGAAAUGCUUAAGAUGCCCCAUGGGAGAAGACAGAUGGAUCCUGGGAGGUUGACAAUCAAGACUGAAUUGCAAGGUAUGCUUGAGCUUGGCAGCAAGGGCUUGAUAGAAGGAAAGAUUACUUAACAGUCCACAACUGUUGUUAGUCCACACAACUUACUGUUUCACUAGCUGGCUUCUCUCCAGAUUUUCUUCAGCCACACUUCCACUCCACACACUCAAAACCUUAAAUGUUGGCCUAUAAAGAUUAGAAGACCUUUAAGUUGCAUGGAGGAGCUCAAUCAUUAACAGCCCAAGCCUGGGCAUGUUUGCUUAGGAGCCCCACUGUUUUCAGUGGUAUUUACUGCCCUGUGUGUACGGAAUUGCAUUUGCUAUUAGCCACCAAACUUUGGAGAGCUGACUCCUCUUAAGCCCUGAACAUUUUGCUAUACUGUACACACUUCUCUCACACACAAUUAUCCUGUUCCUUCAUAACACAAAUAGAAAUGAUUGGAGUGCCAUUGCCAACAGCAGCCACUUGAAAAUCAAUGCUCCAAUUUAAGGCACCUCUUGCUUCAUGUUAAGUUUGGUAGUUUUUGCUGAACUCUCGUUCCAGGUCUUACACAUUUCAAACCAUCUUUGAGGAACACAGUCUGGCAAGUCAGCUGGAAAAUAUAUUAUUGUGUUUCUCAAUCCUUUAUUGUGCCUAUAGUGGGGCUUGUUGCAUUUUCCAGGCUUGUAAACCAAAGAGGGUUCACAAUUCUUUUGCAUCAUUUGCUUAGUUUGGGCUUUUAUAGAGCUAUUAAAUGAAUGCCAUUUUAGCCUUAUACGUACGCACCACCCCAAAAUGAAAUUAUUCCAACUUAGUACUGGUUUAUCACAACUGCGGCACAAUUUUAAAACUUGCCAACUUAGGGCAAGGUCAUUCUCAAACAUUCACCUGCUAAGACAACAGCUGUGCUGUUUCAAAACUGGACAAAAACAUAGCCUCCCCCCACCCACCAAGUUGCCACUUGUAGUUCCCAGUUAUGUUGCCCUACAGUUUUUAUAUGUAUUGCCUUGGAAACUCUUGUACAGAUCAUUUGUUCCAAACGUGGUGUAUGCUCAUCUUUUUUUAAAGCAAAAAAUAAUAUUUUUUAAAGAAAUCAAGAAAGGAAGUUUAUUUUGCUAAAGGUAUUUUAAGGGUAAAUUAAUGCUAUCUUGGAAAUUUGAUUGAUAGUGUGUGUUUCUUAUUAAACCAGUGUAAUUUGAUUAUAUAAAUAUUGACAUAUAAGAGAAUUGUAUACAAAUAAAAUAUAUUGCUUAUAUCAGG